rnacentral:lncRNA from 1 species
CCAGUUUUGAAUCUAUGACAAGAAGGAAGACAUAAAACAUCUCGCAGAGUAUGCCCAGAACGUCAUGAGACAACCAAUAUGAUUCAUCGCCACAUGUCAGAUUGUGUGGAGAAGCGGAAAUGUUGUAUAACAGAGAAGGUAGAUCUAUAGGCUGGAACUGAUCGAUCACCUGACUACUUCACUGUGAAACGGUUGCUCAAUAAAAGUUAAAUUUCGGCUGCACAACAACAGUAACCCGAGUAAGCAUUUAACAAUCCCAAUAACAAAUGCAGGACAAGUGGGGACAGCCAACAUGGCUGGUAAUAGAGGCCGACUUGUGCAAACAGCUAACAGGCCCUGAAUACCUAUUUCUUUACUACCCACAAGGGGCUAAACAUGGAAGGGACAAACAAGGACAGACAAACUGGUACUUAUUUAAUCGACCCCGAAAGGAUGAAAGGCAAAGUGGACCUCGGCGAAAUUUGAACUCAGUACGUAGCGGCAGGCGAAAUACCGCGAAGCAUUUCGCCCGGCGUGCUAACGAUUCUGCCAGCUCCCCACCUUAGGCCCUGAAUGCCGUUUCCUUGGUCUUCCUAAUUCUGAUCCCUGUCAACCUCCUCCCAAGUCAUUUUCCAACUCAUUUUCAGGCGUCAUACCAUAUCCUUUAUUUCUUACUACGGAUUUUCAAAUUAUUUUUCUUUAUCUGUUUCUACAAGUUUUAGAAGAUGAAUCACUACAUAAGUGCUUCUGGACGAGUAUUAUUUCUUCUUCUUCUUUGAUGCGGUAAAAAGAAAAGGGAACAUUUUGUUCUUGAGCAAGACACUUUAUUUCAUGUUGCUUCAGUCCAUUCAGCUGGCAAAAAUGAGUAGGACCCGUUUUUCAAGAGGCCAGCCUUGUCCCACCAUGUCACGCUGACUCUCCCUGAGAACUACCUGGUGCGGAUUCACGCGUCUGCGGUGUACUCAGUCACUUGCACGUUAAUUUCACGUGAAAGCUAUUCCAUUGAUCGGAUCAACUGGAUCCAUCGUCGUCUUGACCACUAAAACAUCGUAAUACCUAUUUCUUUAUUAUUCACAAGGGGCUAAACAUAGAGGGGACAAACAAGGACAGACAUAGGUAUUAAGUCGAUUACAUCGACCCCAGUGCGUAACUGGUACUUAAUUUAUCGACCCCGAAAGAAUGAAAGGCAAAGUCGACCUCGGCGGAAUUUGAACUCACAACGUAACGCAGACGAAAUACCGCUAAGCAUUUCGCCUGGCACGCUAACGUUUCUGCCAGCUCGCCGCCUUAAAACAUCAUAAUACCACCACCACCACCUUACCAUUGUCACAGCCCCAUAUCCUUCCCACCAAAUUAUCCUUCACUCCCCCACACCACCAUUAAUCCUAUUCUCACGAACUUACAAUGGAGCUAUCGCGCAAUUGGUUGAUUUGCGAGAAAUAGCAAAUGAAUUCCCCUCAAAUCGCAUCUUAUUAUCUUAAUAAGGGAAGAAGAAUACAUGUAGUCAUGAAUAUCUGAAAUAUACCGACGGGAAAGCCAUGGCUGGAACGCUUUCACCCAUUUACCCCUUCUGACACCAACAUUAGAACGGCCACUACCACGAUCACUGCAUUAUAAACUAUCACCACACUAUUAUGUCUGACAUCAUUACCACCUCAACCUGUAUUAAACUGCUACUACUACUACUACAACAACUACUACUACUACUACUACUACUACUAUAUUUAAUAAGACUAUCACCUCCACCAUCACCGCUACUACCACCUCAACCGCGAAAACCACUGCCGUCACUACCACCAAAUUUCCAAUACAACAUUCCUAUAUUUAAUACCUCCACCACCUCCAUACUAUCUCCUAUACAACCGCCUUCCUCUCUGCACCCCAUUCAGUUCCCCUACUACAGCCAUUACACCCUCACUUAUCAAUUUACCUUCAAUCCACCCCUUUGUCUCAAUUAUCUCCUUAAUGCUCCCCACCCCCACACUUCCCCCACCCCUUCUCAGUUUGUCCCUAUUUCUCACUUCCUCCAUACCCGACCAAACCGGCACAUGCCUCUACUACCACCAUCACCACUACCACCACCGCCACUCCUUCUCCCCCCCCCCCCCCGUCAUUCCCCCCCGCUCCAUAGACUCGGUGCUCGUCAUUCCAAUUAGCGAAUAAAUAAACACAUAUAGGGGAAACAGACUAAUUAACUGAAGGCGCGGGGGCUGGUUGAUGGUAGCGGGGCGGUGUUGCAGUGUGAUAUGAUGGGGGGGCGGAGUGGUGUAUUGAUGACCCGUCCACCCACCAACAGUGAUGGAGAAGUUAGUGGCGGGAGAUGGAAUGGUGGCGGUAAUAGCGAAAAUAGCGACGGAGCAGUAUUGGUUGUGGUAGCAGUGGUGAUGAUGAUGGGGAUGAUGUUAGUGGUGGUAAUGAUAGUGAUGAUGGUGAUGGUGGAGAUAGGGUGCUGGUGAGGGCGAUGUGGUAGUGUGUUAAUUCUGGGUUGUGGUGGUGGUGGAGGGUUGUAGUAAUAGUGGUGCUGGAGUUGGGUGAGUGUUGGUGGUAGUGUGUUGUUAGUUGCGGUAAAAGUGAAGAAGUGGUUGUUCGUUUGCUUAUGGUAGCGGCGAUGGUGUUAGUGGUACUCUUAAUGACAGUGAUAAUUGUAGUAUAGGUGCUGGUGCUGGUCUCACCGCUGCGCUGUUAGUGGUGUGGAGUUAAUUAUGAUAGUGAUGGAGUGCCGAGUUGAUAAUAGCUGUUGAGGUGUUAGUAGUAGUAGUAGUAGUAGUAGUAGUAGUAGUAGUAGUAGUAGUAGUAGUAGUAGGAAGAGGAGGAGGAGAAGAGGGGGAGGAAGAGCAGCAGCAGAAAUAACGGUAAUACUGUAGUAGUGGUGAUGGUGGUGGUGGUGUGAUUUACAAUAAAGCGCUUCUGAUAAUUCGUUGGUGAUAGUGUGGCUAUGGUACUGUGUUGUAAUUGUGGAUUGGUGGUUUCUUAAGUGGUGGUCAGGUGUAUUGAAUGUGUUAAUAUUAAUUGUAGAUUUUCUUGUUGUCAGUAAAAUGUGACAGGACACUACCCAUAAAUAAGCCUUAAAUGGAUUUUCCCAAGGUAGUGGGGAGUGUGCCUUCAAACCAAAAGCCUAGCGUCUGGUUCCAUCGUAAUCCCCCAAAUAUCCUUAAACCGAAGACCUGCCAUCCAUAUAAAAAAUCUCUCAUUGUUUGGAUGGAGGUGUUGUAUGGAAUUAAAUGGCUCUUCGAAAGGCAAAAGGCCAACAAAUUUGUAGCAGAGUGGGGGUAAGUCGAUUACAUUGACCCCAGUACACGGCUGGUAUUUAUUUUAUCGACCCUGAAAUGAUAAAAGGCAAACUGAACUCGGUAGAAUUUGAACUCAGAACGUAAUGACGGAAGAAAUGCCGCUGAGAAGUUUUAGCAGUGCGGUUUCGAUUCUGCCAACUCAACGCAAAUGAAAUCUGUAACUUCUACACAGCUUUGGGAUAAAAUGGUUUUAGUAAAAUCCCCAAUGAUCUAGAACUCCUUUAUUCUUUUACUUGUUUCAGUCAUUUGACUGCGGCCAUGCUGGAGUACUGCCUUUAGGAUUUAUUAUACCGACCCCAUGAUUUAUUCUUUGUAAGCCUAGUACUUAUUCUAUCGGUUUUUCUUUUGCCGAACCGCUGAGUUACGGGAACGUAAACAAACCAGCAUCAUUUGUCAAGCGAUGUUGGGGGGACAAACACAAGUACAUACACACACACACUACACAUACACAGACGACGGGCUUCUUUCAGUUUCCUUCUACCAAAUCCACACACAAGGCUUUGGUCGGCCCAAGGUGCCACGCAGUGGGACUGAACCCGGAACUAUGUGGUUGGGAAGCAAGCUACUUACGACAUAACCAACCAUGAGCCUAUAGCGGAUGAUGAUGAUGAUGAUGAUGGUAGUGGUGGUGCUGUGGUGGUGGUGGUUUGGGGAAGGUGUGAGGGAAUGGUAAAGCAGGAAUGUAAGACAUUUUUGUCAAAAUGUACAUAUUCUCCCCCCCCUCUCGCGCAACCUCGGUAUUCGUUACACUUCCUCACAUUCUUCGUCACUAACCUGAAUCCGCCCACAACAGGAUCAAACCAGUUGAUCACCAUCAACGAUAUCAGAUUCUGGGUUUCAGUCCUUUCCCAGACAGCGAAGAAAUAUCAGUAGAUUUCACAGGAAACCGAAAGAAAUGAGCUCAUUCCAAUUGCUUAGCAUCUUGGGACGAUAAAACUGGGAGAAAUUAGGUCGACGUCUGUCUUGUAUCUGCAGUGCAGUGUUAUGGAAAGCUGCGCGAAAUGCUGAGUUACGAACACUUUACUGGAAGGAUCAGUUCAGUUUCAUCACACAACAAAAACCUAAAUCGACAACAAAAAAGUAAAAGAAACCUCAGCCGUCACUUGCAAGCAUGUAUGAUACCUAUUUCUUUAUUGCCCACAAGGGGCUAAACAUAGAGGGGACAAACAAGGACAGACAAAGGGAUUAAGCCGAUUACAUCGACCCAGUGCGUAACUGGUACUUAAUUUAUCGACCCCGAAAGGAUGAAAGGCAAUGUCGACCUCGGCGGAAUUUGAACGUUUCUGCCAGCUCGAUGAUACCGUGGCGUGUACCAUGCCUUUUCUAAGUUUCUUGAACUCACGUGAGCCGACAUAGACUUCCUCUUUGCCAUUCCAUUGCAAACACACACGUGCACACAUAUGGAAACUUCAGCAAGAGACAUAUAAAUGUGACAAAUUUGAGAAAUUUUGUAUUUUCAAGCAGUAAAUGUAAGCAGAUCAAUCUUUCAGACUCCCAGUUUAUCGAUGAUAAACUGGGAACCCAACCUAGGCCCCCAUAUCUAUGGCAUUCACCGCUGGAAUAAGGAGUGGUUGGAGAUCACGCGGUCGUUAGCCUCAGAUCGCCAGGCUUGGUCUGCAUUUGUGAGAGAUGCAGCAUUGAGGAUGAAUGAAGCCAGCUCAACCCACCCCGGGUGAAUGCUGUAAGAAGAAGAAGAAGAAGUUUAUCGAUGAGGACACAAAUUUGGUGGUGAUGAAACAAAAUUUAUCGAAUCGAAAAGCAUUAACUGAACAAGUGUUCGAACUUGCCCCAACCUCAAAACUUCCACGAGAUACACAUCCAAUAGUUUGUUGUGUUAUUUCUCCACUAGGCUCUCUUUUAUCACAUCUUCACUUGCUUCUUAUUGUUAUUCAUCUAAUGGUACACUUACCAAUUAAAUUACAUACAAAUUAUACUUAUCUUUCAACAGUGAAAUAUGCGCGCGAGCGUGUAUGCGUGUGCAGUAUAUGUUCGUAUAUACAUGUGUGUGUGUAUGUGUGUGUGUGUGUGUGUGUGUGUACAUAUGUACGUAUAUAUAUCUUUAUGCAGAUAAGCAGAUAGAUAUAUAUAGAUAUAAAUAUAAAUAUAUAUAUAUAUAUAUAUAUAUAUAUAUAUAUAUAUAUAUAUCUAUAUAUAUAUAUAUACACACCUAGCAUUCACAUAGGUGUGUAGACACCGAGGUAUAUUUUCUCUAGUAAAGUUAUUUCGAUUCAGCCAGCUCCCGCCUCAUUAAAACUUAACUUCUCACUAAUUAAGCCAAUCUGUUUUGAUAUUUUGCCAAAUCUCUUUCACCCGUGUUAUGACCCUUACAGGAAAUCUUUUCUCUACAACUUUAUUGUCUGGCUUCAGCCAAAUCCUUUCAGCCUCUCGCCCAUCACUGCUGAUCUUCGUUUGAAGCUUUUCCCUCUCUCUCACUACACACACACACACACACACACACACACACACACACACACACACACACACACACACACACACACACACACACACACACACACACACACACACACACACACAUACAUUCAUAUAUGCACCGUCUCGCACAGAACGCUAUACCACUUCCAGAUCUUGAGAGUGAGAAUGUGUGAUCUUAAAUCAUUCGGUAGCGAUUUUAGUUCUGUAAAUGAAAUUAAACAUUUAGAAAAGCAAUAAAUUGUUUAAAACUCCUGCUUUGUACUUAGUGAUCCCCCUCCUGUAUUUAUUGUUAUUAUUAUUAUUAUCAUUAUUAUUAUUAUUAUUAUUAUUAUUAUUAUUAUUAUUAUUAUUAUUAUUAUUAUUAUUAUUAUUCAGUAGUUUUAUUUUUAUAGCGUGCUUUCACUUCACUACCGAGCGCAGCUCUGUGUGCCUUAGGUAUGUGCUGUGAUUUGUUGUGAUGCUCUGAUGGUUAUUGUUUGGAAAGUGUUCUGCGUAGGAUGUGUGCAGUGCCUAGUAGUGCAAUUAUUAUUAUUAUUAUUAUUAUUAUUAUUAUUAUUAUUAUUAUUAUUAUUAUUAUUAUUAUUAUUAUAAUUAUUACUACUACUUCUACUACUACUAUUAUUAUUAUUAUUAUUAUUAUUAUUUUUAUUUUUAUUAUUAUUAUUAUUAUUAUUAUUAUUAUUAUUAUUAUUAUUAUUAUUAUUAUUAUCCCGUUCACGAAGCAAGUUGGACGGCUGAAUCGGUAGACCGUCAGAUCAAUAAUUUUUCGCAAUAUUAUUCUUUGUUUGCGCUUUCAUUUUGAACCUCACCGUUUUUAAUUUGUCAUUCAUUUUUUCGAUUAUCGAUAAAAUAUUUUCUCAGAUUCAUUCAUUUCACUUUAUUUCUCUUUUUUUUUUUCUUCUUUUUACUAAAUACUGACAUUCUACCAAUCUGGUAAGCUGUUCAAAAUGGUAUCACAUUUGAACGACUAAUUUGUUGUUUAUUUUCUCCUGUGGCUACAUCCUAAGUUCGAUUCUUCCAUGGGUCGAUACUGGUUUCAUUCCACCUGAUAUUGGAAAUGUGUCAAUCACAAAGCGCAGUUAACUCAUUUAACUGUAUAAAUGUGUUGGGUUCUCCACUGCAAAUUCCAGAACUGGUCUAAAAGUCGUCAGUUCGUCGUUCUUGUUCUUCAGUGAAGUUCAACUUUGACUUAUAUUCUUCUGAGUUUCAUAAAAAAAUAAUUUCCUAGUUCAGUAUUUGUAUCAGUUUAAUCAACAGUAGAGACUGAAGUCCUGAAGUCCUGAAGCUGUCCACAGUUGCUUUCAAAUUCUUUAUGAUGAUUCAGCUCGUGCAAUAAUAAUACUAGUGCCGAGUUCUAUGACACUUUGACCUUCUAAGCAAUAUUUUAUAACGCUUGGGUAAUUGUUUUAUUCCAUAUAACAUUGCUAAGGUCUGAACCCCCCUUUUGAUUAAUAUUCAUGGUUUCUCGUGGACAUGUAGCGAUGUAAGCUAUUAUCAUUAUUAUUAAUAAGUUUUAAAUGAAGACAUACAUGUAUCAGAAACCGUAGGCUGUUGAAUUGACAUAUCUUUCAGACUUAGCUUGCUGUUGUUUGGCUCCAACUGAAUACGGGAAAGUGCCAUGGCCUAGUGAAUAGGUUAUAAAAACUCACCAUAAAGCUAUCGGUUCAAUUCCUCAAGUGGCAGCCCGUUGUGACCUUCAGCAAGGCAUUUGUUUCUCAUUGCCCCAGUCAGCUCAGUUGUCAAUCAAUUUUUUCACACAUGCCUUCAUAUCACUCUAUUUUUAUGCUUCAUUUAACAUUAACAUCUCUAAACAUGAAAAAUAUUCCGUUGGUUUAAUUCAUCUGAGAAUCGAUUCGCAGCAUCAUUUGUAACUGAAAUAUUUCUGUACAAAACUUGUAACAGUCUUUCACGUUUUUAAGCAAGCAAUCCCUUAAUAUUCAUGUGUAUGUUGAUUUGUUCAACAAAAUUUUUUCGAAAGAUUCCAAAUUUGACCAAAGUUCUGCAACAGAAUUAUUUUCAUUUUCAAUUUUUUGACUGCAUGCGAAACACAUUGAUUAACAAGCGCAAGGCCCAGAGGUAAAUUUCAUUCGUUUCAUUCUCAAAGAGUAUUUCUAAUUGCCGUUGUUGGUUUGUCCUGUGUUAAAAAAGAAGAAUUUCGAGGCAGGAAACAUCUGCAUAACCUAGCGAUGCCGAGUAACAGUGACUGCCAAUUUUCUAUGAGUAAGGUGUUUCCUUUAUUCAACUUCAACAAAAUCAGAAAUCUUGAGAUGAAAGCAAAAAAAUUAUGUUAAAAGAAAACAAAAGAAAAUUCUCCAUACCAAGAUCGAUCAAAUCUGUAACACUCUGCUCGGCAACCGACUGCAAUGCAUAAAUCUUUUUUUAAAACAUUUCCUUCAGAUAUGCAAACAUGUUAUCACUGUCUUCAUAAUGCCUGAAAACUCCAAGGAUUGAACUGCACUUGUGACUUAAAAAUAUAAAGCAUUUCUCAAAGAGACCAUCUUCUCUUCCGAUUCUACAUAAUUAGAAAUUGUGUUUUCUAUUUCAUCAAGUGUAUUCUCUAACUCAGUCAACUUUGACUAUGAAACAAUUUUUCUGGAUAAUGUCUUGAAAUAAUUACAAGAAAAAGGUUUACGGAAUUGGUGAAUUCCAUAUUUAACAAUUUCAUAAAGUAUUCCCUCAUUGUCUUCGACUUAACGCAGUGCAGUGGAUAGAAAGGAAUAGUAAUCGUUUCUGGUUUUCUUCGGACACUGGAAAACUUCUUUGCCAUCCCAGAACCAGAGAAACUUUUAUUUAUUUAUGUUUUAUAUUUAAACGCUGCAGAUGAACGGGUUAUAGAUGUGAAGCUUCAGUAGAGAUAAAUUGCAUAUUUUCGUAUUCUCUGGUUGAAAUACCAUAAAGCAAAUACGUCAGCAUAAACAUUUUCACCGUUCUUCAACUGGUUCUUUUCCCUUAAAUGAAUUCGCAUGUAUUUAGAUGUCAAACAGGUAAAGUCAUCAGAGAAUGUGAUAAAAAGAUUUUGUUCCAACUCACUGCACCCCGAGUUCAAUUCCUGCAGAGGUCAACUUUACUAUUCGUCAUUUUGGAGUCGAUCAGAUGAAAUUCCAACCGAGGUCGGUGGAUUAGCAGAACUGCAGAAUUUUUUCUUUUUUUUUUGUUGUUGUUGUUUUUCCUUAAUUCUUUACUUUUGGAUUUUAUCCGUUGCCUUGAUUAGCACUUCUACCCCUUGGUUCUUAGGCAACUUUAUUCCAUUCAUUUGUAAGCAUUUGGGGUGAAAUCUUUGAUUUGAGGAGAAGUACCUUUCGUCUCCUCAGUUUCGAAAAGUAAACGACCAUCUUUCCUGCUCUUGUUUCUCCAAAGUAGUAGGAAAUAGGAAGAAAAGACAUUACUCCUGUUAUUUGCCAUAUUGACAUCCUCAUUUACACAUCAAACGGUGCACUUUUUAUUCCUUUCUGCCUCUUCUAAACCAUGAAAUGUUGCUCUUAAGUGAUUUUACAAUUGUAUUUGGAUAUUAUGUCUGUGGGUUUUGCGGUGCCGAUUUAUGCCCAGGAAAACAAAUCGUAAACAGCUGUUGGAACAGGAAACACUCUUACAGCAAAAUCUAUGUUCAAAUACUUUUGCUGCAAGUUAAAGGCUUGGCAACAACCGGUCACCGUGACAGUUGCAAAGGAAACGACCCGGUUCGGUCUGAAAUCUAAAAAUUGCUAAAAUACCUGAAAUGCAGAACAAGAAAAGCAAACUCUACAAUAAGUCACAAGAAAAGAAAAGCAACAACUGAUUUGUGGCUGUAGUAGUACUAAACAAGAAAACCAUUACAAGCGUUUGAAGAAAUAAGCAAUGCGUGGCACCACCACGUUAAUUCCAAAAUAGAUAGAAGCGAACAAAUUUCUACUAACUUCUAUGACUAAACAUGAUUUUUCUCUUCUGUCCCAAAUAUCUAACCUUGCUCUUGGUAGACGAUCUGAUGGUAAUGUUCCUCGUAAAUUCCCGGUAUAUAUUCAGUGAUAGAUGUGUUAUUGAUAUCCUAGUGAAAUCUUUUUUUUUUUCUGCAGAUCAUGUUGAACAUUGUUUGGUGUCAAAUAGAGAUACCACAUCAUCGACAUUUACGAUUUCUUCAGUCGAUAUUUUGUCCAAGAGUGCUAAUAUCUAAAGUUAAUAUUUUAAUCUUCUUCAAGUGGCGAGGGAGGAAUAUCUUAUUAUAAUGUUUUUUGUAGAAGGCAAAAUGUGUUUUAUUUUGCUGAAGUAAACCAGUCCUGCUCAUCUGGAUUGGCAUAAGAAGUCACCAGGAAGUGGAAGUUUCACAAAAAAUUAUCUACCGAGCCGAAGGAUGUUAUUCCUUUUUAUUUUCCAGCAUUUGAUUGCUGCCAUUAUUUAGCUGGUGCUGUUUUAGGGUUGUCAAAUGUUGCUGAAAAGUUGUCUACACUUAAGUCUCUUUCUCAAUUCGAUUAAAUCUGUCAGUAUCACAGUUUCUGUGACAGUUUGCAAUUGAUGUCAGGAUCUUGAGGGUAUUCAUAGCGAUUCAACGGGUUUCCUCUACAGACCAUUCAAAUAUCCUAAUUGUGGGUAUUAAUAUAGGUACUGAAAAUGCAUUAUGGGCUAUUAUCUUGAAAGAAAAAAGCUAUGAGUGCCAUGUUGUCUUUCAUAUUCUUUGCUUACUCCACUAUUAUUCUCUUUAUUCGCAGUUCCUUUAUAUGAUAUAUUUUCAUUCAUAUUUGUAAAAGUCAUUACGUGGAGUAAGAGAGAUGGAGAGAGACCACUGAUGCAAAGAUCUGGGGUUUGGGAAAUAGUUUUCCUCUGUUCAGUAAUUAAAUAUGAAGAUAUUUGUUGGCCAAAUUUCAUCUCUAUAUCGGCCUAAAAUGUUGUCGUUCAUUUCAUCUGUUCCUCGGCAUCAUAAACAUUUCGAUCAUGAAGAGAAGUUGUGGGUAAUAUUUGUGACCCUUGCUGUUGUAGAACCUUGACUGUAACCAGUGAAUUGUCAUCACAGAAAUCAUCGGGUUCCUGAGUUUUUCCAUAGCAGCAACUAAUGUAGCAGGUUCUUUCUAUCAGCUGUAGUGAGAACGUAUAGAAAGGAAGGCCUUUUUCGAACGAAGCCAUACAUACAAUCACAAGAUUCCUAAGGUAGUUUCUAACUCUACACGGUGCAGCUUUAUUUAUUAACGGUUGUUUACUACAUCGCCACGAACACGUACCUAUCUUUUUAUCAGUAACUAUAUGUCUCCAAUGGCCUUGUGGGAAUUGGCUCACGCAGCCUCUAUGAAGUCUGUAUAUGUUUACGCAUGUUAUGGAACAACAAUUCUCUGCAAAGAGAGGGAUUUCAUUCCUGGCUACAAGAUUUGCUUGUGCCACUCUGGCUUUCCACAUAUCUUUGAAAUUUAUGUAUUAAUAUAUGUUUCUAUAAUUGAUUAUAUGUAUGUAUGUAUGUAUGUAUGGAUGGAUGGAUGGAUGGAAGGAUGGAUGGAUGGAUGGAUGGAUGUAUUUAUGUAUGUAUGUAUGUAUGGAUUUAUGUAUGUAUGUGUGUAUGGAUGGAUGGAUGGAUGUAUUUAUGUAUGUAUGGAUGGAUGGAUGGAUGUAUGUAUGUAUGUAUGUAUGUAUGUAUGUAUGGAUGGAUGGAUGGAUGAAUGUAUGUGUGUAUGUAUGUGUGUAUGUAUGUAUGAUUUUUUCCGUCAGUUUAAUUUAAGUUCUUCUUAAGAGAGUUCGAGCCGGUGGCUAGCAAAGCAACAAAACCUCUUGAGUUACAGAGAGAUCCCUGUGUUUGUAAAUGUGUGGUUGAGUUGGUUGAACUGUCGAUGCAUUCACCCAACUCUGUGCUUCUAUUCACGUAAGAAUUUCACAUGAAGAAUCUUUAGAAUCACCGAUUUUCACUGAAUCACUAAGAGACUGGAUUUGGAGAAUCUGCAUCAGUUUCUUUUGCUCUUUGUCCGAGUAUUUCUAGAGUCUUGUGCAUAUUCGUUGGUACAUGACCUAAUGCACCUAUGAUGAUAAUUACAAAUGAUAAUUCAAAGUUAGGGUACAAAAGUUCCGUAUUAAUUCGCCAUAAUGUUCUUCUCUUCCGGGACUUUUAUUGUACAUUCACAUCGGUUGAGCAGCUGCCCUCUACGACAUACCAUUUGUUACCUGUCCCACAGAACAAUUUCAGCCCUGUUAUGUUUGUGCCAAAUCAAUGUUCUAAUUUGAGUGUUCCAACAGUAGUCCUUGCUUUUAAAGGUGUGAAUACCUGCUGGUUCUGACAUGCUUCCGAUGUAUACACCAGAGCAGUCCUUUCGGCGGAUAGCAUUGUAAAUAGUCUUUGCAACUACAUCAUGCCCCAGGCGUAUGUAUUAUCUCAUAGAUAUUUUGGAGACUGCUACAGAUGAUGUGGCUGAUAUCUUCCACACUAGCAUAGCAGAGCCGACAUUUUUUAUCACAACGGGGAGGUUUGUUGGUAUCUUUAUCCUUCUAGUUUAUUAGGUAUUUAGUAACUAUCUCCUGUUCCUGGAUAGCAAACGCUUAUUCUUAUAGGUGGGAGAGGGGGUCAUGUAUCUACCGCAGGUCCAGAAGAGGCUUAAGGAGCACUCCGUCGAUUACGACGACGAGGGUCCCAGUUGAUACGAUCAACGGAACAGCCUGCUCAUGAAAUUAACGUGCAAGUGACUGAGCAAUCCAUAGACACGCGUACCCAUAACUUAGUUCUCAGGGAGAUUCAGCGUGACACAAAGUGUGACAAGGCCGGCCCUUUGAAAUACAGGUACAACUCAUUUUUGCCAGCUGAGUGGACUGGAGCAACGUGAAAUAAAGUGUCUUGCUCAAGGGGUCAACGCGUCGCCGGGAAUCGAACUCACGACCUUACAAUCGCGAGCCGAAUGCCCUAACCACUAAGCCACGCGCCUUCACCCAGAAGAGGCUACUCUUCCUAUCAAUGUAUGUCAUUCAGUUUUAUUUCAUGAUUUCUUGCCAAUAGAGAAAGAGCCGGUUUCUAACCUAGAUCCAAGGAUCCUUCAUUGGAAUUUUAACAAUAUCAACAGGGUAUUUAUGCCUUUAUGUACGUAUAUAUAAGUGAAGAUUUGUAUGUUUUGAUUUAUGUAUGUAUUCUCAUGCAUAUAGUUGCAUACCUAGACAUGCUCAUAUAUACCUAAAUGAUAAAGUUCUUUAAAGUUUUACAGUUUUUGCAGUGUAUGUAUGUAUGUAUGUAUGCAUGUAUGUAUGUAUGUAUGUAGGUAGGUGGGUAGGUAGGUAGGUAGGUAGGUAGGUAGGUAGGUAGGUAGGUUCUCUUUGUUUUUUAAUUUAGCAUAAAUUUUGACUAGCCAUCUACUUGGUAGCAAGGUUGUAAAGAAAAGCAUGUCCUUCUAUCGUAAUCAUUUGUAGCCUCUUCCCAAGAACCUAAAGUCAGCUAUGCCCUGCUCAAGACGGGGUGGUAUAUAUAUUUCCUAUGUAUGGAAGCUAGAAAUAACAGCCAAGUAAACCUCAAACCUUAUCUCUACAAUGCUCAUCAUGGAGAAGUUUUAUAACAUAGGCUAGAGUAAUAAAAUAAUUGAGAAAAAGACGGGAUGGUCAUGGAUACAAUAGAUGGUCAAACGUGUGAUCAAUUAGAUCUCAGUCAGAGGUCAAAUAAACAGUAAUAAAAGGCGAUUCAUCUGUCCGAAGGUCACCUAAUCCAUGAAGAGGGGGGGGACAUUUGUUUGGGCAAAAGUGCGGCUCGCAUUGUAGGGCCCGAAAUUAUAAAGGUACACUUCCGGUCGCAAACUUGAACUCGUGUAACAUAAAUACAGUGUAGAUUACGACCACAUCCAUAUGUAUAUAUAUGUAUGUAUGUAUAUAUAUAUAUAUAUAUAUAUAUAUAUAUAUAUAUAUAUAUAUAUAUAUAAACAGAGAGAGAAGAAGAAGAGACCGAGAAAAAGAGAAGAGAAGGAGAGAUUCUCAAAUAUAUUAUUUAUUAGAUGUAUGAAGGUAAGAUGUGUGUGUGUAUGUGUGUGUAGGAUGUGAUAAAUUUUAUACAUAAUUUAUUACACAGUCAUGCACAUAUAUCUUCUAUUCAUGUUGACAUCGUCAUCUUCAUCAUCAUCAUCAUCAUCAUCGGCAUCUCUCUCUCUCACUGUCUUUCUCUAUAUGUAUAUAUAUAUAUGUGUGUGUAUAUAUAUAUAUAUAUGUGUGUGUGUGUGUGUGUAUAUAUAUAUAUAUAUAUAUAUAUAUGUAUGGUGGUUAUGUAUAUUCUAAUAUUUGUGUAAAUUAUAUGUAACUAUGUUAUACAUACAGGCAUACAUACGCACGCACACACACGCACAUACACACACACACACGCGCACACACACACACACACACACCCCCACACACACACACAGACUCAUAAACUGAGAGAGGGAGAGAGAGAGAAGAGAAGCGGAAAUUUAAACGAGAGGAAUGUGAUAAAGAAUGAAAUGUUUACAGGAGACAAAACAAGCAGAAAAAUGGACAGAAGGAAAUAAUGAAAGAGAAAAAGAAUAGAAGAGAGAGAGAGAGAGAGAGAGAGAGAGAGAGAGAGAGAGAGAGUGAGGGAGGGAGGGAGAGAGACCGAAAGAGAGGAAGACGAUUUAGAGAGAAGGGAGAAAGUGUAGAAGGAAGUAGAAAAGAAAGAAAGAGACGAAAGAAAAAGGAGAAAGAAAAUAUGAUAUAAAAACAAAGAGAGAAAGAAAGAAGACAAAGGAAGAGAUAAAGAGAGGAAGAAGAAGAAAGAGCGAGUGCAGAGAAGAAAGCUGCAAGGGGUGGGGUGGUGGUGGGGGGUGUUGGAUGGUGCUGCAUUUGAUUGAUGGAUAUUCCGGGGAAACAAAAUGCUUAGAAGUGAAACCAUUUUGGAGAAAAAUGGUUUUGUGUGAGGAACGCAACGAAGCGUGAAGCCAGUCGGCCAACAAUAAAUAUAUUUCUUCUAUAAAUAAAACAUGAACAGUAAUAACAAGAACCGGCAGCAGCAGCAGCAGCAGCAGUAGUAGUAGUAGUAGUAGUAGUAGUAGAGUAUGGUUGGUAGUAGUGGUGGUAGACGAUAUAGCAGUGGCGGUGAUAGUAGUAGUAGUAGUAGUGGGUGUUGUAGGUAGUUGUGUAUAGGGGCAGCAGGGAUGGAGAAGGGGGGAUGGUAGUGUUAUUUGUUGUGGUUGUGUUGUAGCAGAGGUGGUAGUUGUGAUGGUAGACGAUAUGGCAGUGGCGGUGGUAGUUGUAGUAGUAGUGGUGGCUGUUGUAGGAAGUUGUGUAUAGGGGUAGCAGGGAUGGAGAAGGGGGAAUGGUAGUGUUAUUUGUUGUGGUUGUGUUGUAGCAGAGGUGGUAGUUGUGAUGGUAGACGAUAUGGCAGUGGCGGUGGUAGUAGUAGUAGUAGUAGUGGGUGUUGUAGGUAGUUGUGUAUAGGGGUAGCAGGGAUGGGGAAGGGGGGAUGGUAGUGUUAUUUGUUGUGGUUGUGUUGUAGCAGAGGUGGUAGUUGUGGUGGUAGACGAUAUGGCAGUGGCGGUGGUAGUAGUAGUAGUAGUAGUGGGUGUUGUAGGUAGUUGUGUAUAGGGGCAGCAGGGAUGGAGAAGGGGGAAUGGUAGUGUUAUUUGUUGUGGUUGUGUUGUAGCAGAGGUGGUAGUUGUGGUGGUAGACGAUAUGGCAGUGGCGGUGAUAGUAGUAGUAGUGGCUGUUGUAGGUAGUUGUGUAUAGGGGCAGCUAUACAGGGAUGGAGAGGGGGAAUGGUAGUAUUAUUUGUUGUGGUUGUGUUGUAGCAGAGGUGGUAGUUGUGGCGGUAGAAGUAGCGGCAGUGGUAGAGAUGCUGUGCAAGUUAUGAUUGUGUCGGUGGUAGUAGUAGAUAGCAUUGGUUGCGGCUGUGGUGUAGAGGAGGUCCUGAAGUACGUAGUUUCGGUUGUAGUGGUGGGGGUGGGUGUAGCUGGUUAUGAUGUAGUCGAAGAUGGCGGUAGCGAAGUUUGUAGUGGUUGUGCUUGCAUAGGUGGUGGUGGGGGCGAUGUUGUUUGUGGCGUAAACAUCAGUAGAAAGUGGUGAUGUAAUAGAAGUAAUUAUAGUGUUGUUGUUGUUGUUGUUGUUAUUGUUGUUGUUGUUGUUGCUGCUGUUGCUGUUUAACCUUAAGUCAACCCUAAGAAAAGAAACUUAGAGGAAAAAGCGCUCCAGCCUACCACGGUCUCAUCCAUUUUAGGCCCUGUGUGAUCCUUUGGGAUUUUGGCUGAAGACGAGCAAUUUUAAAGGGAGAAGCAGAGACGAUUAUAUCGAUCCCAGAGUGCAAUUAGUGAUUUAUAUUAUCGACCCCGAGAGGAAAAAAAAAUGAGCAAAGCGUGAUUCGAGCUCAAGACGCAAACAGUGGAAGAAAUGUUACCAAACAUUUUGUCCGACGCGCUGACUCGUUCUGCCAGCUUAAGACACAAUGUAAUUAAGAUAACAUUUUGUAAGGCUGCAAUGUGUCUUCAAGAUUGAAGACGUUAAAGUGUGAUUGAUUUGAGGGUGAGAUUUGACUGUGGUUUCUAACAUGCUUUGUAUAGUGUAAAGCUAUUUAGACGUGAUUUCCAUUCUUGAGUCCGGCAUUUCCUUCUCCGUUCUAUUUAUGUCUCUUCGUUAUUUGUCCCCGUUGAAAACUUUCAUUUGAAUCCACGUCCAGAAAGAAAAGACGAUAAUAAUAGUAAUAAUAAUAAUGAUGAUUAUGAUGAUGAUGAUGAUGAUGGUGGUGGUGAUGAUGAUGGUGGUGAUGAUGAGGAGGAGAAGGAGAAAGUGGAGGAGGAGAAAAAGAACAAAGAAGAGGAGGGGAAGCGGAGAACGAGAAGGAAGAGAAAGAGGAGAAGAAGAAGAAGUUGUAGUAGUAGUAGUAGUAGUAGUAGUAGUAGUAGUAGUAGAAGAAGAAGAAGAAGAAGAAGAAGAAGAAGAAGAAGAAAAAGAAGAAGAAGAAAGGGGAGGAGGAAAGACAUGGAAAUGCCAAUAGUUGUGUUUAAUUGGAAAUGAGAAUUGGUUGGAGACACUUGUCAUGCGGUGGCUGGGUAGGGUGGGAGAGAGAGAGGGGUUAGGUGGAAUCAAUUGUGAUGGUCUUUGAGAGGGUGAGGUAGUUCUUAUUGAUAGGUGGUGGUGGUGGUGGUGGUGGUAGUGUUAAUAUGGACGAGAUGGCUUGGUGCUGGAAGAUGGGCGGCGGAGGAUGGGAGCGUAAGAGGUGAUUAUUAUUAUUAUUAUUAAGGCGGUGAACUGUCAGAAUCCAUAAUCGUGCCGGACAAAAUGCAUCGCAUCAUUAUGUUCUGAGUUCGAAUUUCGACAAGCUGGACUUAGUCUUUCGCCCCCUCAGGAUCGACAAAAUAAGUACCAGUUGAAUACGGAGGUGGAUGUAAUCGACGAGAUCCGUCACCAUAAUAUUUCAGUUGUAUGCGUAUAAUAAAACAAUUUAAAAAUUAUCAUUGUUUAUGAUGGCGAGCUGGCAGAAACGGUAAGCAUGCCGGGCGAAAUGCUUAGUGGUAUUUCGUCUGCGGCUACAUUCUGAGUUCAAAUUCCGCCGAGGUUGACUUUGCCUCUCAUCCUUUCGGGGUCGAUUAAAUAAGUACCAGUUAAAGCACUGGUAUUGAUGUAAACGAAUUGUCCGCUCCCACCAAAUUUGGGGCCUUGUGCCUCCUAUUGAAUAGAUAUUUAGAGCGGCGGAUUGAAUGGCAUUUAUUCCCUUCAAAUUUCCAUCUUUGCGAUUUAUUAGUCUCAAUUUCGAGGCAUGAUAAAUAUCGAUUAUAUCGACCGCAGUAUCCAACUGGUACUUUAUUUAUCGACCUCGAAAGGAUGAAAGACGAAGUCAGAAUUUGAUCUCAGAACGUAAAGACGUACGAAAUGUCGCUAAGUGUUUUACGCGACGCGUUAACCAUUCGGCCAGCUUGACGCCAGGGGUCUUUGCGAUUUAUUUGUUUAUUUAUUGCCCACAGGAGGCUAAACAUAGAGGGGACAAACAAUGAUAGACAAAGGGAUUAGAUCGAUUACUCCGACCCCAGUGCGUAACUGGUAUUUAUUUAAUCAAUCCCGAAAGGAUGAAAAGUAAAGUCGACCUCGGUGGAAUCUGAAGUCAAACGUAGCGCAGACAAAAUAUAUAUUUCUUUACUACCCACAAGGGGUUAAACACAGAGAGGAUAAACAAGGACAGACAAACGGAUUAAGUCGAUUAUAUCGACCCCAGUGCGUAACUGGUACUUAUUUAAUCGACCCCAAAAGGAUGAAAGGCAAAGUCAACCUCGGCGGAAUUUGAACUCAGAACGUAACGGCAGGCGAAAUAUCGUUAAUCAUUUCACCUGGCGUGCUAACGAUUCUGCCAGCUCACCGCUUUUAAUUUUUGCGAUUAAUCAGAAAGGAUUAGUAUCGUUAGAGGUGGCGGUGAAGGUGGCGUUGGCACUGUUGGAUGUAAUGUGUUUGUUGCUGAUAUUGUUGUCUAACCUCAAACUAAUCCCAAUUGAGCAAAUUUCUGAUAAAAAGUUUACCAAGCGUGACCAUCACGUCCAUUUUCUAUAUACAGGCUCGUAAUACCAAUCAACCUGUCCUUUGCUGCGAUAGUAGGAUGGGUUCUACUAAAUGUAGCAGAUCGAGAGAGCACCGGAAGGGGUCACUUUUAGUUUACGUUCGAGGCGAUGCCUAUUGUGAAGCAGCAGCAGCAGCAGUAGUAGUAGUAGGUUGAUGUUGUUGUUAUUGGGCAGCGGUGGUCGUGGCGGAAAUGUUUGAAAAUGACCAAGGCAAAACAACAAAGGGCUGAAGAGAAGAAGGGGAAGGGGUGGUGCAAAAUGUGCCGGUGAAAAGGAAGACGGAAGAGGAAGUAGAAGAAUAGAAGAAGAAGAAUAGAAGGAGAAGAAGAAGAAGAAGAAGAAGAAGAAGAAGAAGAAGAAGAAGAAGAAGAAGAAGAAGAAGAAGAAGAAGAAGAAGAAGAAGAAGAAGAAGAAGAAGAAGAAGGAGAAGAAGAAGAAGAAGAAGAAGAAGAAGAAGAAGAAGGGGGAGAAGAAGGGGGAGGAGAAGGAGAAGAAGAAGAAGAAGAAGAAGAAGAAGAAGAAGGGGGAGGAGAAGGAGAAGAAGAAGAAGAAGAAGAAGAAGAAGAAGGGGGAGGAGAAGGAGAAGAAGAAGAAGAAGAAGAAGAAGAAGAAGAAGAAGAAGAAGGAGAAGGAGAAGAAGAAGAAGAAGAAGAAGAAGAAGAAGAAGAAGAAGAAGGAGGAGGAGAAGGAGAAGAAGAAGAAGAAGAAGAAGAAGAAGGGGGAGGAGAAGGAGAAGAAGAAGAAGAGGAAGAAGAAGAAGGAGGAGGAGAAGAAAGAGGAGGAGAAGAAGAAGAAGAAGAAGAAGAAGAAGAAGAAGAAGAAGAAGAAGAAGAAGAAGAAAUGCAAAGAGUGCAGUAGGCGUCGAAAACCCUGCCCAAAAUACCAACAAAAACUACAAAAACGAUGUCAGCGGUGACAAGAGAAGACUAAAGCAUUCUUGUAAAAUGUCUAAAUGGGAGGACAACAAUAAAUAAACAAUGAAAACGAAAGGGCAACCGCCAAGAAUUCUACAUGGAAAUCGAUAGCGUUUUUAUUAGAUUUGUCUUUUAUUUCCUAUGAUUGUUUUUCUUUAUUUAAGGAACCGUAAGAACCUACUCAACAUUUACAGUGCUUAAAUACCAUUCAUGGUGCCACUAGCACCAGCACAUUACCAAUUUUCUAAAGUACAUUUAUGUAUAUACGUAUGCAUGUGUAUAUGUAUAUGUGUGUGUGUGUCUGUAUGUCUCUGUCUAUAGAUGUCUGUGUGUAUAUAUAUAUAUAUAUAUAUAUAUAUAUAGACAUCUAUAGACAGAGACACACAUAUAUAUAUAUAUGUAUAUAUAUGUAUAUUUGCAUUCAUUUAUACACAUAAUUAUACAUAUGUAUGUGUGCGUGUGUGUGAGUGUGUGGGCGUGAGUGUGUGUGUGUGUGCGUGUGUGUACGUGUUUAUUCGUGCCUGGACUUGGUUUAUUAGAAAAGAUAUCGUUAGUAAUAGUUUUAUAUAUAUAUAUAUAUACACACACACAGGGCGCCGUGAAUAAACUGUCGUCUAAAAUGAAAAUAACACUGACGUCUAACUUUAUCAGAUAUAUCUACGUAAACAUAGUAAAGAGUAAAGAGUAAAUUUAUUCAAUAAAAUCGCCAUUGGCUUCAGCCAAGACCGCCCCCACCAGACGACUUUGGAAUCUCCUGCAACUCUUUGGAACAGUCUCCUUAUUUAAUUUGGUGAAUGCUGCUAUAAUCGUUGUCAUCAGUCCAUCUCUCGUGUCACAAGGAGUUUUGCUGGUCUCCCGCUCAACUGCACCCCACAUAUAAUAAAACAAGGGAGUUGCAGUCUGGGAAGUUAGAUGACCAAAUGUUAGGGGUGAUGUGGUCG